CCAGACUCCUACGGGAGGCAGCAGUGAGGAAUAUUGGUCAAUGGGCUUACGCCUGAACCAGCCAAGUCGCGUGAGGGAAGACUGCCCUAUGGGUUGUAAACCUCUUUUGUCAGGGAGCAAUUGGCGCUACGUGUAGCGUUAUCGAGAGUACCUGAAGAAAAAGCAUCGGCUAACUCCGUGCCAGCAGCCGCGGUAAUACGGAGGAUGCGAGCGUUAUCCGGAUUUAUUGGGUUUAAAGGGUGCGUAGGCGGGCUUUUAAGUCAGCGGUAAAAAUUCGGGGCUCAACCCCGUCCGGUCGUUGAGACUGGGGGCCUUGAGUGGGCGAGAAGAAGGCGGAAUGCGUGGUGUAGCGGUGAAAUGCAUAGAUAUAAGGAAGAACACCAGUGGCGAAGGCGGAUGACUGGACGGCAACUGACGGUGAGGCGCGAAAGCGUGGGGAGCAAACAGGAUUAGAUACCCGAGUAG
rnacentral:rRNA from 1 species